rfam:Lactobacillus aviarius subsp. araffinosus DSM 20653 NODE_76, whole genome shotgun sequence.
AUAUUAAGUAAUUUUUUUGCUUAUAUAAUCGCUAUGAUAUGGUUAGCAAGUUUCUACCCGAUCCCGUAAAACAUCGGACUAUAAGCUUAAAAUGCUCGGAA